ensembl:lncRNA
GGAGUCGAAUCAGAGCUGCAGAGGCCAUCCUACACCACACCUAUAGUAACACAGGAUCCUUAACCCACUGAGUGGGGCCAGGGAUCAAACCUGCAUCCUCAUGGAUACUAGUCGGGUUCGUUACCACUGAGCCACAACAGGAACUCCCCCAAAGAAUAUUUCUUACACCACAUCAGAUCCUCCCACUCUAAGCACCCUCCGUCACCUGUGCUCAGCUUGAAGAAGUCACAGAAGAUGGACCUUUGCCCCUUUUCCGUAGAAAAGGAAGGAAAAUCUGACAGUGGGGAUUAUAACUAGGGAUGCUCAGCUCCUCAGUGGUAUUCCAGCUCUAUUUCUUAGGUGCAAUAUGGCUGCGAUCUUGUGUUCACCAUGCCUGACUUCUCCCCUAGUUCACCAUUAACUGAGUUUUGCUUGCUGCUAAUGAGGAAAGCUGCUGAUCCCUGCCAAGACUGAAAAGUAGUUGUAUUUCAGGCUUCACGCUCAUCCCUUACUCUUCAGGACUCACUAAGCAGAGAUUUACAACUCAGAGCAUGUUCCAGCUGCAAGGUUGAUUUGAUGGCUGCUUGAUUCUCAUGAUGAACACAAUCAUCCGGAAAACAGAAAUUUAGCCCCCCCCCACCCCCAAAUGUCCAUUUCCUCCUAUAUAAUCUCCAAGCAAAACCUGGGGAGUUGGCAGUUGGUUCUUUGAGACAUGAGUCCAGCUUCUCCCCGGGAUGGCCGGCUGUCUCAAUAGAGUAUGUUUCCUUUUACCCAACAUGUGUCUCUCAGUAUGUGAUUCCUGAGUGAUGGGCAGCCAAACCUGAGUCUGGUGGCAAUGCUUUUCAUAGACACUUUCCUUCUUUCAGUUUCAAACCAAGUUCUAGUUAAGCAGGGCUUUUCUUGCUGUUGGAAAUGCAGAGGGAAAUACAGUUUGAACACUGAAGAACUUUCCAGGUUCUUUCUCUUGCAGCAUUGUGCUUCUUUCAUGGAAGGUGUGGUUUUCCACACCCAUGUUCCAUUCUCUCUAGGUUUGCCAACAAAUUUAGUGCGAUGUUUUCAGUCAACAGGAGAAAGUUACAGGAAAAGAGAUGGAAAAUGAGUGGUUUUAAAAUGAAAGUUCUUUUUAAAAUGUUGAAUUAUUUUCUGCCAAAUCAUUCCUUAGUAUUCUCCAGAAUACUCAACAUCCAAACCAUCUGUUUAUAAGGUGCCUUCAUGUAAUAGUUCAAAGUCAAAACAGGAUGACCACAAAAGCUAGACUCUCCACCCAAAUUACAAUAUAAAGUACAUGUUUUCUCCAUGUUUGGUGACAUUUUAAUGUUUCAGCUUAUUAGUGAUUAUGUUCUGUGACUAUUUUGGUUUUUGAAAAAUACUCUUGGUUGGGGGAAAUUUACCUGUUGCCAAAACACAUCAAAACUCCUACCGAUAUCUUAAAAGCUAAACACAGUGUUUCGAGAUUGCAAUUAUACAUAAAAUGACUAUAGGAAUUCCCAUUGUGGCUCAGCAGUAAUGAACCUGAUUAGUACCCAUGAGGAUGUGGGUUCAAUCCCUGGCCUCGCUCAGUGGGCUAAGGAUCCGGCACUGCCGUGAGCUGUGGUGUAGAUCACAGACAUUGCUAGGAUCCUGCAUUGCUGUGGCUGUGGUGUAGGCAGGGAGCUGCAACUCCAAUUUGACCCCUAGCCGGGGAACUUCCAUAUGCCAUACAUGCAGUCCUUAAAAAAAAAAAAAGACUGUCAAAAAGUACCUCAGAGAGGUGAGAGUUAAUGAAAAGAUACAUAGACCACAAAGAUCCAGAAGGUGCCAAGAAGAAGAGAGUCCCUGAUAAUUCACUGUGCGCCUGGGUCGGGAGGAAGGAUUCAGACCAACGAAAAGGUCACACUUUCUCAAAACGACGUAAAGGCAAUAACCAGAUACUCGGCAGUGUUAGCGGAGGUCCUACCUAAAUUAUUCUAAACGGUGUGGGAAACAGAGAAAUACCAAGGACAGUUCAGCACAGGGCCAGGGCGUGGGACCAAGAUCAGGAUGCAGGGUCUUUGGGAUCCCCUGGCCCGCAGCUGGCAAAUAAACCCGACACAGAAGAGCUCAGCAGCUUCCCCAUGCUUCAAAAAAUCACUGUCCUUAUUAACCAACAAAUAAGACCAGUCCGCAAACCAAGCUUUAGGUGACCUUGUAAUUUACAGUUCUCUAAAUACAGAAGAAUUAUUUUUUCCCUGUGUUUCCUAUAUAUAUGACCCCAAAUUAUGUCCCCACUAGUGAAAAUAAAAGACUCUUGGGAUGGAAUCCAUCCAAAGUUCAAAUAAUUUACUCUUAGAAUGGAGCGUAUCUACAACAAAUAGCAAAAAACAAACAAGACAAAACUCUAACAUUAGUUUUCAUAAGCUUUCUAAUUUUCCUCUUUUUCACAGCACAGUCCAGAGCCCAUCAAAUACUAGUUUCAAAAGCUUAUAAUUCAGUCCCAGGGCCCCAUGUACUGCAUGUCUCCAAAGGAGAAACACUCCUCGAAUGGAAGCAACAUUCACAAUUAUCUCUGAACUGCCUCGCAAGAUGUCAUCCUUUCUUUGUAGAUUUUUAUGUGGGUCAAGACACACCUACACACUAAGUUCAAAGUCAUCUAAGACCCACUCAAGUACCAAGAAUCUCUUAUUACAUUUUUUCCCACUCCAUAUUUCUCUCUAUAAAGGAAAAAACAGAAAAAAAAAAACCUUACAGUGAAAAACAUAUCACAAAUAGUUCCCCAAGAGUGAAAAAAUACCUAGUCUUCAUAAAACCUGCUGGAAAAUAUAAAACUGAGAAAUCUGAUUUACUUAUAAAAACCAUAUGAAAUGAGUAAAUGGCCAGCCUUUAAGCCAAGACCAAUUUCAGCAUCAGAGACUUGUCACGGGUUCCAUGGACUAAAUGCUCAAAGCAGCUACCAUGAAAGCGGGGAAAAAAUACAGUGCUGCCGGUGAUACAGUGGCUGCUAAGCUUCAAAGUGCUUCCGCUUCAAAGUCCUAAAAUUUCUAACCCAAGUCAAAUGGUCCAGUCGUGGUAGAAGUCAAAUGGACCAUUUUUUUUUUUUCCUCGACCAUGCACCUGUAUUUUUCCAGUUGCCCUGCUCCAUCCCCUCCUAGCGUCCAUUCCUAAACGUAGUCAGUUUUACAGUAGCAAACAUGUCUAAAGAUGACUGAUGGGAUGUCAACGCUAAGUACAAAGUCUUAGCGUGAAUCAGCUCGUGACUGCAGUAUGAAUAACGCACUCUCAACAAAAGAGAGGUAUCAGCUGCUUCUGAGAGGCUGAACAUUGUUCUAUGCAUCUUCCAUGUGUGAUGCUCAAAGCUUGAUGGAGUCGGUAAAAUGGUGUAAUUACUCAUAUUCCCCAGAAGGAUAAAGCUUAGAGAAGGCAGCAGGUUCACCAGUGUCAACAAGCGGUCACUCCCAGAGCCAAGAGAACAACCCUGUUCUGUCUGACAUCGCUGCAAACCCUUGAACAUCUUUCGUUCAUCAAUUCCUCCCCCCCCCCCCCCCCCGCAAACACACACAGUCCCAGGGCAAUUUUGCCAAAGUUCCUACAUUAGAAUCAGAGUAUGAGAAAAUGUAGUCUUAAGAAGUCAAGAAUUAGCGUAAAUAGGCAUCAUUCGAGGAAGGCUGACUUGGUUCACUGGAAUAAUUCUGUUUGUAAAAACAGGUCCUGGGGGCAGCGGGCGUCUGGACAGGGAGGACCUUGGAUGGACGACUGCAUUGUUCCCCACAAAAGCCAAAAAAGAGAUGUCCCCGAACUUUGAAUGAGGUCGGCUGUCAUCACAAAUCCAUUUGCUUCUGUUGGCUUUUCUGUCGAUAAUGCAUAAGGUUGUGAAAAACCAAAGAAAGAGACUCAGCUCAUUUCUGAACUGUCCUCAGACAACACCGGGAAACAGAGAUGGGUCGGAAGACAAUCAGAAAACUGUAGCAAUUGCUGGGCGAGGUGGUUUUGAACCCAGAAGAACCAUUCCAGGACCCCAGAAUUUACAGAAACGUCUAGGAAGGCCUUUGAUUCUCUCCAUCCUUGAGGGGGAUUUCGGUUCAUUUGAUUUUAUUUUUUAUAAUGAUUUUAAUUUUGUCCAUUAUGGCUGGUGUACAGGGUUCUGUCAAUUUUCUACUGUACAGCAAGGUGACCCAGUGACACAUACAUGUGUACAUUCUUUUUCCCCACAUGAUCAUUCAUGCAGGGAUGCGAAUACAUUCACCGCGUGCUGAUCACGUGUCCCACGUUUCUCACGUGACACCUCUCCGUCUUAGAUGUACCUGGGCUGUGGCCUACGAUGGACACUAGGUCACGAAUCAAUAGCCUGAGAAGGCACAGCCCUUGUUGCUUUCCCAGGUCCCUGUGGGAAGGAAACACGACAUGUCCAGCGAAUACCCCACAGGACGCUUGGCUCAACAAUCCAGUUGAUCACGUGCCCGACUUCCAGCCCUUAUUCGCAAGGCAGGGGGUGGUCAGACAAGCAAUACUGCUGUGGUUCCAGUGAGUAAAACUGGUGGGAGCGGAGAUCAUAAAUGCGUCUUCAAAUCACAAAAGAAAUCAACACAUACUUGUCCACUCCGGUCUCUUUUGCCAUAAAACCAUUUUAAAUGAGCUAGCUCGUCCAGCAAUAAAAAUGGACACUUACAACACACAUAAAAUAGGAACCAUUAAAAAAUGUUAAGGAAACAAAAACCUUAAACUAUAACUUUAAUAGCAGCCUUUCAUCACUUAUCAACUCGAGGAAGAAAAAUUCACGGUGAGUUUGUUAUAUAAAUUUGGAAUUUAAUUAAAAAGAUGUGGAAACGUAGAAUUGUUCUGACCAAUUGAUUGAUUCAAAUGAGAAAUUUUCCAAACUAACUGAUUGACACGAUUGAGAAUUUUGCUAUCCUUGUGUUAGAGAUGAAAAAACCCUAAUAUUAAAAUAGAGCGAAGUUAUUCAUACUCCAUCACCAUUCAAUUUAAAAAAAAGUCACAGUUUGUAGCAGAAUCUAAACAUGAUCUGAAAUUUCAAUGAAUUUGAAUGAGAUCAUAUUCACUGAGAACACGGUUAAAUACACACCCAAACACACGCAUUCAUACACACACUCAGUCUCUCCACUGUUUUGUAGAACACUACAAAAUGGUCACCCUAGAGCAGUAUCACCCCCUUGGCGUCAGGGACCUGUGUCUGAUUUCUUCUUUGCCUUAUCAUGACAUCUGGCACAUUGCAGGUGCCUGAUAAAUCCUUGCAGAAUAAAUAAAUGAAAGCAACGCUGAUACUGAUCCCUGCCCACCUUCCUUAUUUAUCUCACUGCUGCAGCUAUCGCCAAAUUGCUCAUGACCAGCCGUGCCUGCUGAAAGCAGCGUGAAUAAAGGUACGUAUCUUCAGAGGUGGGGCAGCCGCAUCACAGAUAAAGAAACAGGGGACUGUUCAAAGGAGAAUCCAUUCUAAAGUAAAGAAGAAAGGGUUCAUCUUUCACAGCGUAUGUCCUUAGAAUAUGCAUAGUAUCAAUCAGCUUCUACUUUAAAACCAUCUCACAGGCAUGGAAGACUCAACAGUGGUUACAAAAUACAGCGUAACUUUAUCCACCUUGAAAGGGCCAUAUGGAACUGCCAUUUUUUUUAGGUCAAAGGCUACGGCAUGCCCGCAAUUUCACAUGCUUCAAGCUGCUCAAAUUAAGGUGUGGCUGGUAGAGACUGGAAAGAGGAAAGAAUGAGAGUUCAGGAAAGGCUGGGGGAGCCCACAACUAUAUGUGAUAAAAUGGGCAGUUGAGAAA